CAAUAAUGAAAAGAUGUUAUUGUUAAACAAGAAUUUCCGAAUCUUCAAGGAGUUUAUAUUGUAUUUAUUAAUCACGAAAUGUAUAAUUAAAUUAUAAGAUGAAAAACACGCUGAAAAAAUUCAUCUUACACGAAAACUUUCGUAAGAUAAGAAUCGAUAUCCAUAACAAAAAAUGGCGCAAGUUCUUUCAAAAAAAUAAAAUAAAAUACCGACAUCACCAAAAGAACCAAUGCUUCGAACCAGAAAAGAUCUCUAAUUCCCCUUCUCUGUAUGUAAGGCGUUAAUAGUUGUAUUGUAUUUUAUAAAUAAUAAAAUUUGAC